rnacentral:rRNA from 1 species
AACGAACGCUGGCGGCAUGCCUAACACAUGCAAGUCGAACGAAGCCUUCGGGCUUAGUGGCGCACGGGUGCGUAACGCGUGGGAAUCUGCCCCUUGCUUCGGAAUAACAGUUAGAAAUGACUGCUAAUACCGGAUGAAGUCUUCGGACCAAAGAUUUAUCGGCAAGGGAUGAGCCCGCGUAGGAUUAGGUAGUUGGUGGGGUAAAGGCCUACCAAGCCGACGAUCCUUAGCUGGUCCGAGAGGAUGAUCAGCCACACUGGGACUGAGACACGGCCCAGACUCCUACGGAAGGAAGCAGUGGGGAAUAUUGGACGAUGCACGCAAGUCUGAGCCAGCAAUGCCGCGUGAGUGAUGAAGGCCUUAGGGUUGUAAAGCUCUUUUACCAGGGAUGAUAAUGACAGUACCUGGAGAAUAAGCGCCGGCUAACUACGUG